AGACAGAAACCCUCUAUAAAUAUCUUUACUAUUUAUCUGGCAUUAUAUGCUCAUAAUGUUAACAACAAAAAGUGCUGAUAAUGUUAUAAUUAAUAAGUUCUAACAUUAUUUUUAUGUGUUUUGUUGCAGACAGCAACUGUUUGAUGUUCUAUCUCAACAUUCUCCAGAUUCAUGUGAGCGAUAAACCGACUUCAUCCCUCCAACAGACACCAACUGUUGGGGUUCUAUCUCAACAUUCUCCAGAUUCAGAUGUGAGCGAUAAACCGACUUCAUCCCUCCAACAGAAACCAACUGUUGAGGUUCCAUCUCAACAUUCUCCAGAUUCAGAUGUGAGCCAUUAACUGACUUCAUCCCUCCAACAGAAACCAACUGUUGAGGUUCUAUCUCAACAUUCUCUAGAUUCAGAUGACAGCCAUAAACCGACUUCAUCCCUCCAACAGGUU